GCUCCCUCUCUCCCUCAGGCCGACAAGUGGGACCGCGGGAUCCACUUGUCAGGUCCAUCCCCAACCUUCCUCCAUCCCGGCCAGCAACCGCCCGAAGCCGCCAUGCCGCCCGUUGCCGCCCACGUCGCCGCCGAUUCCGGGUCCUCCCGCUCACGCCCUCGCGCCCAAACCAAGUAAAAUCGGUUCCCCACCACCUCCUCCACCUUUUCCCCUACUUUUCCCCAAUUUUUGGCGCCAAAUUGAGCUCCACUUCGCCCACGUCGGCGUCCCACGUCGCCGGCCGGUUGCCGCCCGAUCCCGCCUCUCCCGGCCACGAUCUCCAUCCCCGAGCCCUAUAUAAAGCACCCCCGUGCUCCCCUCUUCCGUUUCCCCUCCUCGCCCGAGCUCCCCGUGCCCUUUCCCGCUCUCCCCGCGUCGCUACCUCUCUCCACUGUCGCCGGCGAGCUCCAGCCGCCUCUAGCCGCCGCUCCCGCCGUCCCCGCGCCGCGCCGCUUGUGCCGCCGGCAUCGCCGCUCCACACCGCACCCCGGCCCCCACCUUUCUUCCCCUAACCGUCGCCGAAACCCCACCGCCACCGCCGACCCGAGCUACAUCACCGCCAGCCACCUCCAGCCGCACGCCGUCGCCGCCUGAGCCGCUCCAGCACCGUGCCACCACCGCAGCCAGUUGCGCCGCCGCGAGAGCAGGCCUGUCCGCCACUCUUCUCCACCAAAACGGCUCCGCAAGGACGAGGAUGUCCUCGGCCGCCGCCCCUCUUCACCGGAAAUCCGCCGGAGUUCCCCUUCCCUUCGCGCGCCGCCGCCGUCCGCCGGUUCCCGCUCGCGGAACGCCGCCGGACCGCCGUCACCGUUGUCUCCCCGAGGAGCGCCGCCGCCUUCCCGUCCUCACCUUGUCGUCCUGUUCGCUCGCGUGUAGAAUCCGUCGUUUUGGAAGUCCGCGGUCGUGAGGAAAAGAGUUCGGAAGAUCGAAGUGAAGAAGCAAGGCAAGUCACACAUUCCCCUUGAGCAUUUUGAUCCUAAUUUAUAAACGUUUUACCGUUUGUAAAUAAACAUGCAUGUCUUGCUAAUUACAUGGGAUCCGGGUAUUACCUAUCUGCUUGCUUAUGCCAUGUUUACUUGAUAUCUGUCCCUUGUCAAUAUUGGGUAAUAAAUCGACUAGCUCAUGUUAC